GUUUAAUUUUAAAUUCAGGUCUUUAAAAUUAAAUGCACAAGCAAAACUCACCAGCAUGAGAUGCAAAGUAUCGUUUUUACUAAUUUAUUUAUUUAUUUGUUAUCGUAUUUAUUUAAGAAAAUGUCACCAAUAUGCCACACACACCUUGUUCCUUGUUAAAUAAAUCAUUAUCUUGAAUAUGUAGUUAAACUAAAAGUUUAAUCCAAAAAUUAAAUGUUUAUCACUUAUUCUUUUUAAGGAUAGUUUCUCUACAUUACCCAAAGCAUGAUUUUAGGGCAUUACAAAUUC
rnacentral:lncRNA from 7 species